rnacentral:rRNA from 1 species
AACGAACGCUGGCGGCAGGCCUAACACAUGCAAGUCGAGCGAGGACUUCGGUCCUAGCGGCGGACGGGUGAGUAACGCGUGGGAACGUGCCCUUUGCUUCGGAAUAGCCCUGGGAAACUGGGAGUAAUACCGGAUGAGCCCUUUGGGGGAAAGAUUUAUCGGCGAAGGAUCGGCCCGCGUUGGAUUAGGUAGUUGGUGGGGUAAUGGCCUACCAAGCCGACGAUCCAUAGCUGGUUUGAGAGGAUGAUCAGCCACACUGGGACUGAGACACGGCCCAGACUCCUACGGGAGGCAGCAGUGGGGAAUCUUAGACAAUGGGGGAAACCCUGAUCAAGCCAUGCCGCGUGAGCGAUGAAGGCCUUAGGGUUGUAAAGCUCUUUCAGCUGGGAAGAUAAUGACGGUACCAGCAGAAGAAGCCCCGGCUAACUACGUG